rnacentral:lncRNA from 1 species
GGAGAGGACACAGGCCUCAACUCAAGGACAGACCAAAGAGCAAGGGUCUCACUAUGUAGCUCAGGCUGGCCUCGAACUCAUGGCAAUUCUGCUGCCUCAGACUCCUGAGUGCUGAGAUUACAGGGGUGCACCACCACACCCGGCAUGAGAGGAGCACUGUAGCAAGUGGGCCCACACAUACCUGAGCCAGAGAAACCACAGCGGAGCUACUCAGGAGGCUGAGGCAGGAGGACUUUGAGUUCGAGGCCUGUUUGCACAACUUAGAGAGAUCCUGUCCGUGAGCUUAUUGAAAGGGACGUGAUCUGGAAAUUCCGAUUUACCUUUGACGGCUUGAAGAGGGAGGGGGCCGUGUGGAAAGACCUGAGUGAGGAGCUUCUAGGAGCUGACAGAGAUCCCUGGCCAAUAGCCAGCAGGGAGGCAGAGACCGCAGUCCUACAGCCACAGGAGUGGAUUUCUGCAGCAACCCCGUGUGCUUGGGAGCCAGCUCAGUCCUUGAUUUUGGACCUGUUAGGCCCCAGGCAGAGAAUCCAGCUGAGUCCACCUGGACUUCUGACUAGCAGAGGCCUUUUCUAGAAAUCUAAUCCUUCCCAGAUGGAGUCCAGUUCUCUCACCCCAGCCCCCUGCAAGGCAGGGCUCCAGAAAGCAGGAGGGUUUUGUCUGCCAGAUCUGAGACUCAGCUGUCACUCACCAUUGAGGGGAUGUGAGGGGUGGAUCGCCUUCCUGAACCUCGGUUUCCCCAAAGAUCCAUGAGCCAACAAACACAGCUCCCGGUCGGCUCAUCUGCCCUGGUGGGCGGGAGCAGCUUCACAGAGGAGCAGAAGACAACACGGAUUCCCAAAUGGUUUGCACCGGCGCCAGGAUGCCGUUGUGGCAGCCAGCUCCCAGCCAAUGCCACGCAAGACAGCAAGGUCUCCUGCAGGCACGGAGACCCCAGAGAGCAAAGCCUGCCAGACUAGAAUUCUGCAGCCAUGGGACUCCUUCCCACAAAGCAGCAUACACAUCUGCAUAUCAUUGCGGAGUAGUUUGCAUACAUUUGCAUCCAAGUCCACAUCCCCUGCCCCCCACACUGUUCCAUUUUCACUUCUAUAAAACUAAAUAUUGUAAGGCCGGGGAUUUAGCUCAGUGGUUUCGCCACCUGCUGUGCAAGCACAAGGACCCGAGUUCAAUCCCCGAUACCAAAACAAAAACAAAAACAAAACCAAAAAACUAAAUAUUGUAGUGUCAAA